CAAAGAAAGUGGACAUAUGCAUCUCAUUCAAAGCCACCUCACACCACCACAAGGGCAGGCAAGAGACAGAAUGAGAAUCAAGGAGCAAUAUCUUUCCAUCUGACUAGGUAAGCAACACAGGAACCUUGUCAUGCUGACCAAAGGCACAAACAGCCCAGGUCACAACCCACAAAGGUAUCUAUGCCUAGUGGUUCAAUGCACAAGCAAAGAGCCUACUAUCACAAGAAAACCCAUAGCCACUCACAUG